GCUCGGGUGGCGGAACUGGCAGACGCGCAUGUUUGAGGGGCAUGUGGAGCAAUUCGUGAGGGUUCGAGUCCCUCCCCGAGCA
rnacentral:tRNA from 1 species